rnacentral:lncRNA from 1 species
CCGGGACUCGCCCCCGAGGCGGAUGCGCCGGCCGGACCAGCGGAUUCGCGGGUCGGGGUCACGCUGGUCACUCUGUCCCUGAUCUAACCCAGGGAUGCCUAGUGAUUCAACAGUGUACGUCCCAGAAGCGAAACUAACAAGAGCACGUAAGAGAAAACAGAGGAUCCCAAAAUGAAGACACUUGCUCAAGUUCACACAGCUGUUAAGUGGAUGACAAGGGGCCAGACUUCUAAGGUGCAGAUUGUCCCUGUAGAAUGGGAAGAAGACAUGAGUGGACAAAACGACUUAGGUAUUAUAGUCACAUUUCCUUCUAGGAGCUGGGCCUUCAUUUCCCAUCAGUGGUAUUUAUCAGCCUCAGUGAGGAACUGGACAUUUCAAGCAGAGACUGGAUUAAUGCUGGACAAAGAUCUUGUACAAGGGAUUUCGGCAUUACGUGGGCAGUUUGAAUAGAAGAUGAAUGACUUCUCAGAUCUAUUCACCAUUAUAAAUGUGGCUACUCAGCAAGGAUUCUGCCUUCGUAAAUUUCCAGAAGAGCAGCAGGCACCAAGUUCUACUUUCAUGGAUAUUUCCAGACUCUAGGAGAAGCCUAUCAAGGUCUUUCGGGAGACAUCUUACUAUGCUCCACUUGGUUUGCAACCCCAGUAGGAGACUUCAGAUUGUAUAGUUCAGUGAGCAUCCACCCAAGGGUGCAGUGCCAGUUUCUUCUUUUCCAGAUACUCUCAGUCUCUAAAAGUGAUUAUCUUGCCACCCUGCCGAUCUCUUGGCUUCAUGAGGAAUGAGGAAGCAAGCCUCUAGAAAUAUCUUUCACCAAGGACCCACGAGAACACUCGCCCUUGGAAACCAGCUGCUGUGCACUAAGAAACCCAAGUCACAUGGAUGGCCACGUGUUGGCACUCUGGUUGAGAGCCCCACCUGGGCUCCUAGCUGACAGUCAGCAUCACCUAGCAGCCAUGAGACAAAGCCCACUCUUCUCAUCUAGCGAGUUGCCUUCAUAUCUGUGAGAGAGGCCCACGUGAACUGAAUUUCAUGGAUUGCGGUGGGAAUUAAAGCUGAGUCCUGACUCUUAGUUCAUGAAAAAUUAUCUGUGCAUGACGAGAUUGGCGUUUUAUACAAGUAGACUGAGCUCUCCUGAAAAGGAAGGAAUUCUGUCUCCAUGUUGCGACAUAGAAACCCUGCCUGAGUUUCUAGCCUUUGGACUCAAGACUGCAACAUCAGCUCUUGCUGGAAUUUCCAGCCUACAGCCUGCCCCACAGAUUUUGGACAUGUCAACCCCUACAAUCACAGACCCUGACUUGUUUCCCUUUGUUUUUUUCUAUCACCACACUGGUUUCCCUAGAGGACAUUGACGUUGACAGAGAAAGAC